rnacentral:misc_RNA from 1 species
UGAAGAACGCAGCGAAAUGCGAUAAGUAGUGUGAAUUGCAGAAUUCAGUGAAUCAUCGAAUCUUUGAACGCACAUUGCGCCCCUUGGUAUUCCAUGGGGCAUGCCUGUUCGAGCGUCAUUUGUACCUUCAAGCUUUGCUUGGUGUUGGGUGUUUGUCUCGCCUUUGCGUGUAGACUCGCCUUAAAAUAAUUGGCAGCCGGCGUAUUGAUUUCGGAGCGCAGUACAUCUCGCGCUUUGCACUCAUAACGACAGCGUCCAAAAGUACAUUUUACACUCUUGACCUCGGAUCAGGUAGGGAUACCCGCUGAACUUAAGCAUAUCAAUAAGCGGAGGA